GAUAAUGAAUUUCAUGAAUGGUUUUCGAAUUAGCUGAAGUUUUACUUUUAGGAGUGCUGAGGAAGCGCUGCCACCUUCAUUUUUAAAUUUCGAGUUGAGUUUGAAGCCAUUAUUAAUUAUUUAUAUGUCGUUUGUACCUAAUUCUACCUCGAGUGCCAUCCUCAACUUAAACUGUUCUUGUACAAUUAAAUUUUCGAUGUGAAACAUUUUUACAAAUUAUUCUUCAUUAUUGGCAGUUGAAAAGUGCGUUAAUUGUUCUCGCACUAAAAAAAGAAAAACAAUUUCAUUUACAUAACCGACUGAAAACUUGGAUUCCCUAAAUGAUGCGUUAUCAUCAAUGUUUGUACAGAGUCUGAAGACAUGUAAAAUUGUAAAACUGGAAACAUUAAAGUUAUUAACGAAUAUGUAAAACAAAUAUUUAUUGAGCCGUAUUAACCACUAACAACGAAACAAAAAAAGAUGUCCUAGGGUAAUGGAGAUGGAUCUGCAUCCGUAGCUGCCUACUGUUAUAGAUAAUUUAAUGUAUAUUUGUAAGCAACGAUUGACCAUUGCAAAUGAAAAAAAUAAUUCUAAACGCAAUUCAGUUGAUAGUGAUGCUUUGUCAACAAUAUAUGUGUCAUAUUAUUGUAAAAUAAUUAAAUAGGCAUUGUAUAUUUUCUUUAAUAAUAUUUGUUUAAUUUUGUAUCGAUUUUCCUGUUUUUGUUGUUAAGUGUUAACCUAAGCCACCUGCGUGCGCAGAUCUUGUUGGCAGGGGAGCAGAAAAUGUAUAUGUAUAUAUAUAUAUAUAUAUAUUAUUAUAUAUUAAAUAUUACAUGCAAUAUAAUUAAAUAUUAUCUUGGUUAUUAGUAAGUUCAAUAAAUAUUUAAUUAUAAAUUGAAAAUAAUAAAUAAUAAUUAAAAUUACA